CCUACGGGUGGCUGCAGUGGGGAAUAUUGGACAAUGGGGGCAACCCUGAUCCAGCCAUGCCGCGUGUGUGAAGAAGGCCCUCGGGUUGUAAAGCACUUUCAGUGAGGAAGAACGCCUGGUGGUUAAUACCCAUCAGGAAAGACAUCACUCACAGAAGAAGCACCGGCUAACUCCGUGCCAGCAGCCGCGGUAAUACGGAGGGUGCGAGCGUUAAUCGGAAUUACUGGGCGUAAAGCGCGCGUAGGUGGCUUGAUAAGCCGGUUGUGAAAGCCCCGGGCUCAACCUGGGAACGGCAUCCGGAACUGUCAAGCUAGAGUGCAGGAGAGGAAAGUAGAAUUCCCGGUGUAGCGGUGAAAUGCGUAGAGAUCGGGAGGAAUACCAGUGGCGAAGGCGGCCUUCUGGACUGACACUGACACUGAGGUGCGAAAGCGUGGGUAGCAAACAGGAUUAGAUACCCUGGUAGUC
rnacentral:rRNA from 1 species